rnacentral:rRNA from 1 species
GACGAACGCUGGCGGCGUGCUUAACACAUGCAAGUCGAACGGAAAGGCCCUGCUUUUGUGGGGUGCUCGAGUGGCGAACGGGUGAGUAACACGUGAGUAACCUGCCCUUGACUUUGGGAUAACUUCAGGAAACUGGGGCUAAUACCGGAUAGGAGCUCCUGCUGCAUGGUGGGUUUGGAAAGUUUCGGCGGUUGGGGAUGGACUCGCGGCUUAUCAGCUUGUUGGUGGGGUAGUGGCUUACCAAGGCUUUGACGGGUAGCCGGCCUGAGAGGGUGACCGGCCACAUUGGGACUGAGAUACGGCCCAGACUCCUACGGGAGGCAGCAGUGGGGAAUAUUGCACAAUGGGCGGAAGCCUGAUGCAGCAACGCCGCGUGCGGGAUGACGGCCUUCGGGUUGUAAACCGCUUUCGCCUGUGACGAAGCGUGAGUGACGGUAAUGGGUAAAGAAGCACCGGCUAACUACGUG